rfam:Oryzias latipes DNA, chromosome1, strain: Hd-rR.
CCAAAGGUCCUUCUAAGGACCACCCAAAGUUCUGAAGAAAAGUUG